rnacentral:tRNA from 1 species
GCGUGGUGCUUCAGAGGUAGGAUUCCCUCCUUCCAUGUGGGAGACCCGGGUUCAAUCCCCGGCCAGUGCA